rnacentral:rRNA from 1 species
CAGUGGGGAAUAUUGGACAAUGGGCGGAAGCCUGAUCCAGCAACGCCGCGUGAGGGAUGACGGCCUUCGGGUUGUAAACCUCUUUCGGUGGGGACGAAGCGUGAGUGACGGUACCCACUAAAGAAGCACCGGCCAACUACGUGCCAGCAGCCGCGGUAAUACGUAGGGUGCGAGCGUUGUCCGGAAUUAUUGGGCGUAAAGGGCUCGUAGGCGGUUUGUCGCGUCGGGAGUGAAAACACACAGCUUAACUGUGUGCUUGCUUCCGAUACGGGCAGACUAGAGGUAUGCAGGGGAGAACGGAAUUCCUGGUGUAGCGGUGAAAUGCGCAGAUAUCAGGAGGAACACCGGUGGCGAAGGCGGUUCUCUGGGCAUUACCUGACGCUGAGGAGCGAAAGUGUGGGGAGCGAACAGGAUUAGAUACCCUGGUAGUCCACACCGUAAACGUUGGGCGCUAGGUGUGGGGCCUAUUCCAUGGGUUCCGUGCCGCAGCUAACGCAUUAAGCGCCCCGCCUGG